AUUGAACGCUGGCGGCAUGCUUUACACAUGCAAGUCGAACGGUAACAGGUUAAGCUGACGAGUGGCGAACGGGUGAGUAAUGCAUCGGAACGUGCCCGGUCGUGGGGGAUAACGCAGCGAAAGUUGCGCUAAUACCGCAUACGAUCUGAGGAUGAAAGCGGGGGACCGUAAGGCCUCGCGCGAUCGGAGCGGCCGAUGUCAGAUUAGGUAGUUGGUGGGGUAAAGGCUCCCCAGGCCAACGAUCUGUAGCUGGUCUGAGAGGACGACCAGCCACACUGGGACUGAGACACGGCCCAGACUCCUACGGGAGGCAGCAGUGGGGAAUUUUGGACAAUGGGCGAAAGCCUGAUCCAGCAAUGCCGCGUGCAGGAAGAAGGCCUUCGGGUUGUAAACUGCUUUUGUACGGAGCGAAAAGGUCUCCUCUAAUACAGGGGGCUCAUGACGGUACCGUAAGAAUAAGCACCGGCUAACUACGUGCCAGCAGCCGCCGUAA
rnacentral:rRNA from 1 species